rnacentral:misc_RNA from 1 species
ACUCAUCACUACGCAUACAUUGCAGCAAAAUUUAGUGAACUUCUGCUGUGACUUGUAGUGAAUUGGAAAAUUAUUAUCAUCGAAAGAAAAGUGUAAAAUUUGUUCAGUAAUUUGUGUGUGGGUGCAAGACGGAACCAUAACGCGGAUAAGGAAAAAGCAUCGUAAAAAAUGGCGUUGAAAGUGCUGGUUGGGCAAAAGAUUAUGAAUGAGGUGGUGAAGUAUAAGCCUCCACCACCAAAGAAGGCUGGAGCUGUAGCUGCUGCAAAAGCCCCAGGUGGCAUGGAAUGGCGUGUGUUGGUGGUCGAUAAGUUGGGUAUGCGUAUGGUGUCUGCAUGCACCAAAAUGCAUGAAAUAAGCGCCGAGGGUAUCACCUUGGUGGAGGAUAUCAACAAAAAGCGUGAACCGCUUCCAACUAUGGAUGCCAUCUACUUGAUUACGCCGUCGGAUGAGUCGGUGCGCGCAUUAAUACGCGAUUUCGAAAAUCCGGCUAGACCAAUGUAUCGUUAUGCGCACGUCUUCUUCACUGAGGCAAUACCUGAAGACAUAUUCCAUAUGUUGCAAAUACGCAGCGACAUAACGCGCAAAUAUAUACGCACAUGCAAAGAAAUAAAUAUUGCAUUUUUAGCCUAUGAAGACAAGGUCUACUCGCUCGAUUCGCCAGACACCUUUCAGUGUCUGUAUUCGCCAGCGUUUGCUUCGAUACGCGCCAAGCACAUCGAUCGCAUCGCCGAGCAAAUCGCGACUUUGUGUGCCACACUCGGCGAGUAUCCGAUGGUGCGAUAUCGCACUGACUGGGAUCGCAACAUAGAUUUGGCUGCUGCGGUGCAGCAGAAGUUGGACGCCUAUAAGGCGGAUGAGCCCACAAUGGGUGAGGGUCCGGAGAAGUCACGUUCGCAAUUGCUAAUAUUGGAUCGUGGUUUCGAUUGUGUCUCGCCAUUAUUGCACGAAUUAACGCUGCAAGCGAUGGCCUACGAUCUGUUGCCGAUCGUCAACGAUGUCUACCGUUAUACACCCGGCCCGAAUCAACCCGAAAAAGAAGUGUUGCUCGAUGAGAACGACGAUUUGUGGGUGGAAUUGCGGCAUGAGCAUAUCGCUGUGGUGUCCACGCAGGUGACACAGAACCUGAAGAAGUUCACCGAAUCGAAGCGCAUGACAUCGACCGAUAAAGCUUCCAUGCGCGAUUUGUCGCAAAUGAUCAAGAAAAUGCCUCAGUAUCAGAAGGAGUUGUCCAAGUAUUCAACACACUUGCACUUGGCUGAGGAUUGCAUGAAGACUUAUCAAAGCUACGCCGAUAAGUUGUGUCGCGUAGAACAGGAUCUGGCUAUGGGCACCGAUGCUGAGGGUGAAAAGAUCAAGGAUCAUAUGCGCAAUAUUGUGCCCAUUCUUCUCAAUGCGGAUGUCUCCAACUUCGAUAAAGUACGCAUAAUUGCGCUCUAUGUUAUGAUCAAGAACGGCAUAUCUGAGGAAAAUCUAACCAAACUCUUCACGCACGCCUCACUCUCGCCGAAAGAUCAAGAUAUGGUGCGUAAUUUGAGCUUCUUGGGCGUGAAUGUGAUUGCCGAUUCACGCAAGAAAGUCUACAACGUGCCACGCAAAGAGCGUAUCACCGAACACACUUAUCAAAUGUCCCGUUGGACACCAGUCGUGAAGGAUAUUAUGGAGGAUUGCAUUGAGGAUAAAUUGGAUCAGCGUCAUUUCGCUUUUCUGGCUGGACGUGCACAGAAUACCAAUUAUCAUGCGCCAACUAGCGCACGCUAUGGCCACUGGCAUAAAGACAAGGCACAGGCGCAGGUGAAGAAUGUACCGCGUCUCAUUGUAUUCAUUGUGGGCGGCGUUAGUAUGUCCGAGAUGCGUUGCGCUUAUGAAGUCACCAAUGCCGUUAAGAAUUGGGAAGUGCUUGUCGGUUCGUCGCAUAUACUAACGCCCGAAGGUUUCCUUAGCGACUUGGGCAGUCUCUCCAAAGAGGAUUAAGCAGCUACAGCGCAGGCUCGAUAUACAAUUAACUAAAAAUUUAUUAAUUUAAAGUUUAAAUAUGUAUCCUACUAAUAAUUGAAAUCAGGUAUUGAAAGGAAGCGUACUUCAAUGUACAAGGUUAUGUUUGUAGUUAUUAGUUUAACAAAUUUAACAAGCGUUGUUGGUAUUUUGUGUAUUUGCUUUGUGAAUGUAAAAGAAAUUUAUUUAAAGGUAAUACAAUAUUAUUAAAAAUAUGUUAUUAUUACAACUUAUUGUAUUUCUAAUGUGUAAUUGUUAGCAAUAUUUCGUUUUGUUUUUAGGUUAACUGUACGCUAAAGGGUUUACAAAUGUAUUAAUAACUGUAUUGAUGACACUAUAACAAUUUGUAAACACCAUUACAUGUUGUAUACACGUGACAACUUUUGGUUAAAAAAAGAGUUAGACACACACAUAUACAUACUUGUGUGUGCUAUGUUGUAUAUCAUAUAAAUAUAUAACGAAAUGCUAAAAACAACAAUAUGCGCAAGCAAGUCAAUAAAUUGCAAAGUAUUCACGUUGUUUAUUACAUUGUAUUUAUGUCGCAUAUUUGAAUGGAAAAAUAUAAAUAAUUUAUGCAACUAUAAUUCCUUAUACAUAUAUAUCUUUAAAAAAUACUUUAUUAACUACUAUUACUUGCAAUAUUUUGAACAGUUUAUGCGCUUUUCUUAGUAUAUACUAUAUUCAAGAGCAAAAAAAUGUUAAUUACAUAAUAAAUGCAAAAGAAAAAUUUGCGAAAAUAA